rnacentral:rRNA from 1 species
GGUGGAGCAUGUGGUUUAAUUCGAUGCAACGCGAAGAACCUUACCAAGGCUUGACAUAUACGAGAACGGGCCAGAAAUGGUCAACUCUUUGGACACUCGUAAACAGGUGGUGCAUGGUUGUCGUCAGCUCGUGUCGUGAGAUGUUGGGUUAAGUCCCGCAACGAGCGCAACCCUCGUUCUAUGUUGCCAGCACGUAAUGGUGGGAACUCAUGGGAUACUGCCGGGGUCAACUCGGAGGAAGGUGGGGAUGACGUCAAAUCAUCAUGCCCCUUAUGUCUUGGGCUUCACGCAUGCUACAAUGGCCGGUACAAUGGGCUGCAAUACCGUGAGGUGGAGCGAAUCCCAAAAAGCCGGUCCCAGUUCGGAUUGAGGUCUGCAACUCGACCUCANGAAGUCGGAGUCGC